UUUUGUUUUAUCCAUGUAAUGCUUUGCAGGGAACAUAUUAGAGACUCCGGCUCCAUCUGAGAAGCAAUAUAGAGCUGCGCUGUUGAAGAACAAGUUUGCAGAUAUCAUUCUAAAAGCACGCGAGAAAACACUUCCACAGAAUAGUAACAAGGGAGACCCUGAAAAGCUUCGCAAGGAAAGAGAAGAACUCGAACUGCAGAUGCAGAAAGAGAGAGCACGGCUACAAGCUGAGGCAGAGGCUGCUGAAGACGCGCGUCGCCAAGCUGAAGCAGAGGCCGCUGCGGAAGCUGCUGCUGAGUCUAAGCGUAAGAGAGAGCUCGAGAGAGAAGCAGCUCGCCAAGCUUUAUUAAAGAUGGAGCAAACUGUGGAGAUCAACGAGAACGGUUCCUAGAGGACCUAGAGAUGCUGAGUUCGAGUGCACCAGAGCAAUUACCUAGCUCAGUUGAUGAAACCAGCCCCGAGAGAGGUUUGGACCCCCUUGGAAGUUUCAACUUCAGAGGAAUCAACCCUCUUGAGCAACUCGGUUUGUACAUGAAACAAGAUGAUGAUGAUGAAGAAGG